rnacentral:rRNA from 1 species
GAUGAACGCUGGCGGCGUGCCUAAUACAUGCAAGUCGAGCGAACAGACGAGGAGCUUGCUCCUCUCACGUUAGCGGCGCACGGGUGAAUAACACGUGGAUAACCUACCUCUAAUACUGGUAUAACUGCGGGAAACGGGAGCUAAUACCGGAUAAUAUAUUGAACCGCAUUGUUCAAGAGUGAAAUACGGUUUUGCUGUCACUUAUAGAUGGAUCCGCGCCGCAUUAGCUAGUUGGUAAGGUAACGGCUUACCAAGGCAACGAUGCGUAGCCGACCUGAGAGGGGGAUAGGCGACACGGGAACGGAGACAGGGUCCAGAGUACUACGGCAGGCAGCAGUAGGGAACCGUCCGCAAUGGUCGAAAGCAUGACGGAGCAAGGCCGCGUGAGUUAUGAAGGUCUUGGGAUCGUAAUACUCUGUUAUUAGUGAAGAACACAUGUGUACGUAACUAAGCACGUCUUGACGGUACAUAAUCAGAAAGCCCCGGCUAACUACGUG